CUCAGUUCGGAUCGGAGUCUGNAACCCGACNCCGUGAAGCUGGAUUCGCUAGUAAUCGCGCAUCAGCCAUGGCGCGGUGAAUACGUUCCCGGGCCUUGUACACACCGCCCGUCAAGCCAUGGAAGCCGGGGGUGCCUGAAGUGUGCAACCGCAAGGAGCGCCCUAAGGUAAAACCGGUGACUGGGGCUAAGUCGUAACAAGGUACC
rnacentral:rRNA from 1 species